rnacentral:rRNA from 1 species
UACGUAGGUGGCGAGCGUUGUCCGGAUUUACUGGGCGUAAAGAGCGCGCAGGCGGCUGGUCAAGUCCGAUGUGAAAGCUCCCGGCUUAACUGGGAAAUUGCAUCGGAAACUGAUCGGCUGGAAGGUGGGAGAGGGUAGCGGAAUUCCCGGUGUAGUGGUGAAAUGCGUAGAUAUCAGGAGGAACACCUGCGGUGUAGACGGCUUACUGGACGGUAACUGACGCUGAGGCACGAAAGCGUGGGUAGCAAACAGG